UUGAGAGUACAUUAGAUACUUGAUUGUAGAAGAUAGAAUAGAAAUUCUAAUAAAAAAAUCCUAAUUCUAAUAAAAUAGAAAAUAAAAUCUAAUUAAAUCUUAAUAAUUCUAAAAAAGCUUUAAUCAAAUUCAAAAAAAAUCUUAAAGAUAUUACAAAAGAAACAAUAAAAAAUCUCAAAGGAAUUGAAAGAAAAUCCACAAUGAAUCUUAAAAGAAUCCUUGAGAAGUCCUAAAAAAUAUUAAAAUAAUCACAAAUAUAUCUUAAAUAAAUCUCAACCAGAUUUUAAUUUAAUCCUAGUUGAAAUCCUAAUAGAUUUCAAUCAAAUCUUGAACAAAUCUUAAAUCCUAAACUAAAUCUUAAAUCAAAUCCUAGACAAACCUUAAAUCCUAAAUCAAAUCCUAAAUCAAAUCCUAAAUCAAAUCUUAGAUCAAAUCUUAGAUCCUAAAUCGAACCUUCAAUCAAAUCCUAGACAAAUCCUAAAUCCUAAAUCAAACCUUAUAUCAAAUCUUAGAUCCUAAACCAAAAUCUAAGUUAAACCCUAGAAAAACCCUAAAACCUAAACUAAACCCUGGAACAAAUCCUAAAUCCUAAACUAAAUUCUAAAUCAAAUCCUAAAUAAAUCCUAAAUCCUAAAUCAAACCUUAGAUCAAAUCUUAGAUCCUAAAUCAAACUCUAAGUCAAAUCCUAGACAAAUCCUAAAACCUAAACCAAACCUUGGAACAAAUCUUAGAUCCUAAAUCAAAUCUUAAUCCUAUUCAAUCUGAUCCUAGUAUAGUUUAGAAUCUCAAUAUCUAUCAAUUGAACUAUUGAUCUUACUUAAAAACUUACAUACCUUUCAAUAACUAAGUUGGCAAUAAGCA
rnacentral:lncRNA from 1 species